UUCACUCUUUCAGUCAUGUUGGUUUGUGGGUGGUAAGCCGUAGUCAGUUUGGGAGUAAUGCUCCAAUUCUCACACAGUUCUCUGAACACAGCUGAGACAAACUGAACUCCCCUGUCUGAGAGGAGGAAAUCUGGUACACCCCAUUGAGUCAGGAUUUAUUUUUUGAAGAUAGAGGCAACAUUCUGGGCAGUGGAUUUACACAUGGGGAACAACUCAACCCAUCGAGAAUAAAAAUCAACAAAAGCAAGCAGGUACUCAUUUUGGUUUGUACUUCUUGGUAGUGGACACAUGAUGUCGACUCCCAGCAUUUGGUUUGGGCGAGUGGUAGUAGUUUGCUGCAAUUUUCCAACAGGUUUUUGAUUGUUAUGUUUUAUUAUUUGACAUUUCACACAGGUUUUCACAUGACGUUUCACGUCGGACCACAUGCCUGGCCCAAAAGAUACUUCCUUGAGUCGCUUGUACGUUUUGUAGAUCCCUCCAUGGCCACUAAGAGGACUGGAGUGGUAGUGCUGCAGCAGAGAGGGCCGAAGACUGCUGGGAACGUACACUCUGUAGUGCAUCUGGUUAUUUGGCAGGUAAGUUUUCUGAUAUAAUUUGUCCUCUACAACUUCAAAUUGGUCUUUCAAACUUGCAUUGUUCUCUGUAACUGCUUGCAUUAUUUUUGUGACUUCAGGAUCUUUGUGCUGUUCCUCCCACAGGACAACAUCUGAUAAUGGCAGGCCUGACUCCUUGUGGCUGGUGUAUAGACUGCAGCUUGAGACUGCUGUAGGACCCAACGGAUGAGUCGGCUGGUGGUUUUAGUGGAACCCAUGACCCAUUGUAGUGCAGAGUGAUCAGUGACAACUGUGAAAAGUUUGUGUUCCAGGUAGUGUUGCCAUUUCUCUAAAGCCCAUACGACUGCCAGACAUUCUUUUUCUGUUGCCGUAUAAUUUAGUUCAGCUCCUGUUAGGGUUUUACUCACAUAGGCAAUGACCUCCUCUUUGCCCUGGUCUUACCGUUGUGCCAGGAUGGCACCCAAACCAGUGUCAAUGGCAUCGGUGUAGACAGUGAAUUGGAGCAGAAGAUCUGGAUGGCAAAGGAUGGGUGGUGAGGUGAGGCAAGACUUUAACUGCUCAAAUGCUUGUUGGCACUGAGUUGUCCAUUCAAACCUAUGUCCUUUCUUUUUAGUGAGUUGAGGGGUUCGGCUAUCCUGGAGAAAUUCGGGACAAACCGAUGAUACCACCCAGCCAAUCCAAGGAACCUUUGAACCUCCUUCAGGUUUCUAGGCACGGGGUAGGCAUGAAUGGCCUCAGUCUUACAUGGGUCUGCUGAGAUGCCAUGAAUGCUUACAACAUGUUCUAGAAAGGUGAUUUCUUGACGACAGAACUUGCUCUUUUUAAAAUUAAUAGUUAGACCAGCAGUCUCCAAUCUGUGGAGGACAGUCUGAAGGUCAUGAAAGUGCUGGGUGAUUGAAGGUGAGUGAAUGAUGAUAUCGUCUAUAUAGACUAAACAUAUUUUUCUCCUUAGUUCCCCCAGGACUGUUUCCAUAAGUCUCUGGAAAGUGGUGGGAGCAUUUUUGAGACCAAACGGCAUAACAUUAAAUUGAUAGAGACCCGCAGGAGUGAUGAUGGCAGUCUUGGCUUUGCUAUUGGGGUCCAUAGCUACCUGCCAAUAACCACUGUUGAGGUCAAUAAUGGAGAAAAUAGCUGCUCCAGAGAGUGACUCCAAGAUUUCUGUGAUGUUUGGGAGAGGGUAGGCAUCACUUUCUGUUACAGCACUGACCUUUCUGUAAUCCACACAGAAUCUAAAUUUACCAUCUUUUUAAGUACCAAAUCCACUGGAGAGGCCCAACCAGAGUGGGAUAGCUCAACAAUUCCUUGUAACAACAUUUCCUCAAGUUGUUCCUCCAUGGCAAGUUGUUUAAAAGGGGACAAGCGGUAUGGUUUUUGCUUAAUGGGUACCUGACAAGUGGUAUAAAUGUGGUGCUGCAGAACAUCAGUAUGUCCAGUCCGGAGAGUACAUACCCAAGGGUUGCUUUUCAGGAUGUGGAGCAACUGUUGUUUACCAUCUGGAGGUAUUCAGAUUGUGGACUCACAAUUGGCACACUGGCAUUACCUGGUUGAAAGGUGUACUCUUUUGCAGGGGCAAACUUGAAAGAAUAUUUUUGAUCUGUGACAUUAAGCUGCAUUCCACUGAAGAAAAUAAAGUCCAACCCUAGGACUACAGCAUAAGCGAGGGCUUGUGAUGAUAGAACAGCAACAGGUAUAGUGAAAUCUUGUUCGUGGAGAUGUAUAGUGGUAUUCAUUCAGCCUAAUGGAAU